rnacentral:rRNA from 1 species
UGAAUUGAAGCCCCAGUAAACGGCGGCGGUAACUAUAACCGUCCUAAGGUAGCGAAAUUCCUUGUCGGGUAAGUUCCGACCUGCACGAAUGGAGUAACGACUUGGGCACUGUCUCGAUGGGGGGCCCGGCGAAAUUGCAGUACCAGUGAAGAUGCUGGUUACCCGCGGCAGGACGGAAAGACCCCAUGAAGCUUUACUAUACCCUGAUGUUGGGUCUUGAGAUUUUCUGUACAGGAUAGGUGGGAGCUGAUGAUCCGUGGGCGCUAGCUUACGGGGAGGCAACCUUGGGAUACCACCCUGAAAAUCUUGGGAUUCUAACCUACGACCGUAAGCCGGUCGGGAGACAGCGUCAGGCGGGUAGUUUGACUGGGGCGGUCGCCUCCUAAAGAGUAACGGAGGCGCCCAAAGGUUCCCUCAGGACGGUCAGAAACCGUUCGUUGAGUGCAUAGGCAAAAGGGAGCUUGACUGCGAGACGAACAUGUCGAGCAGGUGCGAAAGCAGGGCUAAGUGAUCCGGCGGUACCGAAUGGAAGGGCCGUCGCUUAUCGGAUAAAAGCUACUCUGGGGAUAACAGGCUUAUCUCCCCCAAGAGUCCACAUCGACGGGGAGGUUUGGCACCUCGAUGUCGGAUCGUCGCAUCCUGGGGCUGUAGUAGGUCCCAAGGGUUGGGCUGUUCGCCCAUUAAAGCGGUACGCGAUCUGGGUUCAGAACGUCGUGAGACAGUUCGGUCCCUAUCCGCCGUGGGCGUAGGAGAUUUGAGGAGUGUCGACCCUAGUACGAGAGGACCGGGUUGAACGAACCUCUGGUGAACCGGUUGUCGUGCCAACGGCAUAGCCGGGUAGCUACGUUCGGAUCAGAUAAACGCUGAAAGCAUAUAAGCGUGAAACUGACUUCAAGAUGAGAUCUCAACCUCGAAAGAGUGAAGGGUCGUGGGAGACUACCACGUUGAUAGGCCGGAGGUGGAAGGCGAGCAAUCGCUGGAGCUGACCGGUACUAAUAGCCCGGACACUUAAUAAG